AGGAUGAACGCUGGCGGCGUGCUUAACACAUGCAAGUCGAACGAACCUUCGGGUUAGUGGCGGACGGGUGAGUAACGCGUGAGAAUCUGCCCUCAGGAGGGGGAUAACGGUUGGAAACGACCGCUAAUACCCCAUAUGCCGCGAGGUGAAAUGAAUUUCGCCUGAGGAUGAGCUCGCGUCUGAUUAGCUAGUUGGUGGGGUAAAGGCCUACCAAGGCAUCGAUCAGUAGCUGGUCUGAGAGGAUGAUCAGCCACACUGGGACUGAGACACGGCCCAGACUCCUACGGGAGGCAGCAGUGGGGAAUUUUCCGCAAUGGGCGAAAGCCUGACGGAGCAACGCCGCGUGAGGGAUGAAGGCCUCUGGGCUGUAAACCUCUUUUAUCAAGGAAGAAGAUCUGACGGUACUUGAUGAAUAAGCCACGGCUAAUUCCGUGCCAGCAGCCGCGGUAAUACGGGAGUGGCAAGCGUUAUCCGGAAUUAUUGGGCGUAAAGCGUCCGCAGGCGGCCCUUCAAGUCUGCUGUUAAAAAGUGGAGCUUAACUCCAUCAUGGCAGUGGAAACUGUUGGGCUUGAGUGUGGUAGGGGCAGAGGGAAUUCCCGGUGUAGCGGUGAAAUGCGUAGAUAUCGGGAAGAACACCAGUGGCGAAGGCGCUCUGCUGGGCCAUCACUGACGCUCAUGGACGAAAGCCAGGGGAGCGAAAGGGAUUAGAUACCCCUGUAGUCCUGGCCGUAAACGAUGAACACUAGGUGUCGGGGGAAUCGACCCCCUCGGUGUCGUAGCCAACGCGUUAAGUGUUCCGCCUGGGGAGUACGCACGCAAGUGUGAAACUCAAAGGAAUUGACGGGGGCCCGCACAAGCGGUGGAGUAUGUGGUUUAAUUCGAUGCAACGCGAAGAACCUUACCAGGGUUUGACAUCCUGCGAAUCUCUUGGAAACGAGAGAGUGCCUUCGGGAACGCAGUGACAGGUGGUGCAUGGCUGUCGUCAGCUCGUGUCGUGAGAUGUUGGGUUAAGUCCCGCAACGAGCGCAACCCACGUCUUUAGUUGCCAGCAUUUAGUUGGGCACUCUAGAGAGACCGCCGGUGAUAAACCGGAGGAAGGUGUGGAUGACGUCAAGUCAUCAUGCCCCUUACAUCCUGGGCUACACACGUACUACAAUGCUACGGACAAAGGGCAGCAAGUUCGCGAGGACAAGCAAAUCCCAUAAACCGUGGCUCAGUUCAGAUCGUAGGCUGCAACUCGCCUACGUGAAGGAGGAAUCGCUAGUAAUCGCAGGUCAGCAUACUGCGGUGAAUACGUUCCCGGGCCUUGUACACACCGCCCGUCACACCAUGGAAGUUGGCCACGCCCGAAGCCGUUACUCCAACCCUCGGGAGGAGGACGUCGAAGGUGGGGCUGAUGACUGGGGUGAAGUCGUAACAAGGUAUCCGUACCGGAAGG
rnacentral:rRNA from 4 species